CUGGAGGUAUCAGAAGUGCGAAUGCUGACAUAAGUAACGAUAAAGCGGGUGAAAAGCCCGCUCGCCGGAAGACCAAGGGUUCCUGUCCAACGUUAAUCGGGGCAGGGUGAGUCGACCCCUAAGGCGAGGCCGAAAGGCGUAGUCGAUGGGAAACGGGUUAAUAUUCCCGUACUUGGUGUUACUGCGAAGGGGGGACGGAGAAGGCUAUGUUGGCCGGGCGACGGUUGUCCCGGUUUAAGCGUGUAGGUGUGUGUUCCAGGUAAAUCCGGUUCACUUUAACACUGAGGCGUGAUGACGAGGCACUACGGUGCUGAAGCAACAAAUGCCCUGCUUCCAGGAAAAGCCUCUAAGCAUCAGGUAACAUCAAAUCGUACCCCAAACCGACACAGGUGGUCAGGUAGAGAAUACCAAGGCGCUUGAGAGAACUCGGGUGAAGGAACUAGGCAAAAUGGUGCCGUAACUUCGGGAGAAGGCACGCUGACACGUAGGUGAAGUGAUUUACUCAUGGAGCUGAAGUCAGUCGAAGAUACCAGCUGGCUGCAACUGUUUAUUAAAAACACAGCACUGUGCAAACACGAA
rnacentral:rRNA from 1 species